rnacentral:misc_RNA from 1 species
GAUGAAGAACGUAGCGAAAUGCGAUACGUAAUGUGAAUUGCAGAAUUCAGUGAAUCAUCGAAUCUUUGAACGCAUAUUGCGCUCUCUGGUAUUCCGGAGAGCAUGCUUGUUUGAGUAUCAGUAAACACCUCAACUUCCAUAUCAUUUUUGAAAUGGGAGUUGGACUUGAGUGAUCCCAACGCUUUUCCUCACCGAAAAGUGGCGGGUUACUUGAAAUGCAGGUGCAGCUGGACUUUUCUCUGAGCUAUAAGCAUAUCUAUUUAGUCUGCCUAAAAAACAGAUUAUUACCUUUGCUGCAGCUAACAUAAAGGAGAUUAGUUCUUGUGCUGACUGAUGCAGGAUUCACAAAGACGGCUUCGGCCGACUUUGUAAACUCGAUCUCAAAUCAAGUAAGACUACCCGCUGAACUUAAGCAUAUCAAUAAGCGGAGGA